rnacentral:lncRNA from 1 species
UCAGCUUUGGGUGAGCAGUAUACCAGUAUACUAUAUCGACCUACGGGCGAUAUGUCAGCUUUGGGUGAGCAGUAUACUUUAUUAUCAGCUUUGGGUGAGCAUAUGGUAUACUAUAUCGGCCUUCGGGCGAUAUGUCAGCUUUGGGUGAGCAGUAUACCAGUAUAGUAUAUCGACCUACGGGCGAUAUGUCAGCUUUGGGUGAGCAGUAUACUUUAUUAUCAGCUUUGAGCGAGUUAUACUAUCUAAUUGUCAGCUUUGGGUGAGCAGUCCUGAUUUGAUAGGACUUUAUAGAUAGUAUGGAAUGUGCCGACCAAGUGUGGGUCGUGAUGACAUG